rnacentral:misc_RNA from 1 species
AUAUAUAUAUCAACCUCUCUCUUCUUGAGAGUGGCUUGGAUGUGGGGGGCUUGCUGGCCUUUUAAAAGGUUCAGCUCCUCUGAAAUGCAUUAGCAGAGUGGCCUGUGCAUUCAUUGGUGUGAUAAACUAUCUACGCUAUUGAGUGUGAGGUGGCUCAGCUUCCUAACAGUCUUUGGACAAUUUAAUCAUUUU